UAGCUCAACUACAUAAGAGCAGUGGAAACUACAAAGCUAGAGUUUGGUAGGGGCAGAAGGAAUUCCCGGUGUAGCGGUGAAAUGCGUAGAUAGGAAGAACACCGGUGGCGAAGGCGUUCUGCUGGGCCGUGACUGACACUGAGGGACGAAAGCUAGGGGAGCGAAUGGGAUUAGAUACCCCAGUAGUCCUAGCCGUAAACGAUGGAUACUAG
rnacentral:rRNA from 1 species